GAGGAUAUCGCUCAGUGGUAGAGCAUGUGCUUAGCAUGCAUGAGGUCCUGGGUUCAACCCCUGGUACUCCCA
rnacentral:tRNA from 1 species